rnacentral:rRNA from 1 species
UGCAGUCGAACGAUGAUCUCCAGCUUGCUGGGGGGAUUAGUGGCGAACGGGUGAGUAACACGUGAGUAACCUGCCCUUGACUCUGGGAUAAGCCUGGGAAACUGGGUCUAAUACCGGAUAUGACUCCUCAUCGCAUGGUGGGGGGUGGAAAGCUUUUGUGGUUUUGGAUGGACUCGCGGCCUAUCAGCUUGUUGGUGGGGUAAUGGCCUACCAAGGCGACGACGGGUAGCCGGCCUGAGAGGGUGACCGGCCACACUGGGACUGAGACACGGCCCAGACUCCUACGGGAGGCAGCAGUGGGGAAUAUUGCACAAUGGGCGCAAGCCUGAUGCAGCGACGCCGCGUGAGGGAUGACGGCCUUCGGGUUGUAAACCUCUUUCAGUAGGGAAGAAGCCUUUCGGGGUGACGGUACUUGCAGAAGAAGCGCCGGCUAACUACGUGCCAGCAGCCGCGGUAAUACGUAGGGCGCAAGCGUUAUCCGGAAUUAUUGGGCGUAAAGAGCUCGUAGGCGGUUUGUCGCGUCUGCUGUGAAAGACCGGGGCUCAACUCCGGUUCUGCAGUGGGUACGGGCAGACUAGAGUGCAGUAGGGGAGACUGGAAUUCCUGGUGUAGCGGUGAAAUGCGCAGAUAUCAGGAGGAACACCGAUGGCGAAGGCAGGUCUCUGGGCUGUAACUGACGCUGAGGAGCGAAAGCAUGGGGAGCGAACAGGAUUAGAUACCCUGGUAGUCCAUGCCGUAAACGUUGGGCACUAGGUGUGGGGGACAUUCCACGUUUUCCGCGCCGUAGCUAACGCAUUAAGUGCCCCGCCUGGGGGAGUACGGCCGCAAGGCUAAAACUCAAAGGAAUUGACGGGGGCCCGCACAAGCGGCGGAGCAUGCGGAUUAAUUCGAUGCAACGCGAAGAACCUUACCAAGGCUUGACAUGGACCGGAAAGACCUGGAAACAGGUGCCCCGCUUGCGGCCGGUUUACAGGUGGGUGCAUGGUUGUCGUCAGCUCGUGUCCUGAAAUGUUUGGGUUAAGUCCCGCAACGAGCGCAACCCUCGUUCUAUGUUGCCAGCGGUUCGGCCGGG